rnacentral:misc_RNA from 1 species
GAUGAAAACGCAGCGAAAUGCGAUAAGUAAUGUGAAUUGCAGAAUUCAGUGAAUCAUCGAAUCUUUGAACGCACAUUGCGCCCUUUGGCAUUCCGAAGGGCACACCUGUCCGAGCGCCGUCGCACAACUGAGGCGCAGCCUUGCGUUGGCGGGCGACUUGUGAGUAGCGAGUCGCCGCCCAAACGAGACGGCGCCGCGCCGCGGCCGACGAAGCACGAAAGCGGAAGUCGACGCGGAGGCGGUUGCCUGUAGGAAGACACAGCUUGGCCUCGGAUCAGGUGGGGAUACCCGCUGAACUUAAGCAUAUCAAUAAGCGGAGGA